GUCCACGCCCUAAACGAUGAUUACUCGAUGUGUGCGAUAUACUGUACGCGUCUGAGCGAAAGCAUUAAGUAAUCCACCUGGGGAGUACGACCGCAAGAUUGAAACUCAAAGGAAUUGACGGGGGCCCCGCACAAGCGGAGGAGCAUGUGGUUUAAUUCGAUGAUACGCGAGGAACCUUACCUGGGCUUGAAAGUUAGUGAAGCAAGCAGAAACGUUUGCGUCCGCAAGGACACGAAACUAGGUGCUGCAUGGCUGUCGU
rnacentral:rRNA from 1 species